rnacentral:rRNA from 1 species
AACGAACGCUGGCGGCAGGCUUAACACAUGCAAGUCGAACGCAUCCUUCGGGGUGAGUGGCAGACGGGUGAGUAACGCGUGGGAACGUGCCCUUCAGUUCGGGAUAACCCAGGGAAACUUUGGCUAAUACCGGAUACGUGCGAGAGCAGAAAGAUUUAUCGCUGAAGGAUCGGCCCGCGUCUGAUUAGCUAGUUGGUGGGGUAAUGGCCCACCAAGGCGACGAUCAGUAGCUGGUCUGAGAGGAUGAUCAGCCACAUUGGGACUGAGACACGGCCCAAACUCCGACGGGAGGCAGCAGUGGGGAAUAUUGGACAAUGGGCGCAAGCCUGAUCCAGCCAUGCCGCGUGAGUGAUGAAGGCCUUAGGGUUGUAAAGCUCUUUCGUCCGGGACGAUAAUGACGGUACCGGAAGAAGAAGCCCCGGCUAACUUCGUGCCAGCCGCCGAAGUAAUAC